AGGGCUGUGGCCCGGGCCAUGAAAGCCCGGGCCAAAGUUCGGGCUAAAGGAAAAAAAAACCCAACCCGACUCAACCCAUCGAGGCAUUUUUUUAACGGGGCGGGUGAUGGGUCGAACCGCCGGGUCCGCGGGUCAACCCGAGAUGUGGCGCCAUCUAUUGGUCAAAUAAAGAAUCUCACAGCUAGAAAGUGCCAGAAAGAUCUGGAGGGAUAGGAUAGCUUAAAUCCAUUCAUUGCAGAUGCAGAGUUGCAGAUAUUCGAUGUUCAGUCAUCACGUUUUAAGUAGACGCUGACACGCGCUAGAGCUUCAAAAGGCAGAACACAUGAAGUGGUGAAGGCUGUAUGUCUAAACGUAAAUCUACUUCUAAUAAUGGCGAGCAGUUAUCGCGUAAACCUCAAAGUUUGUCAAAAUCGAGCAAUUCUACUGGGAAAAAGAGAAGUUUACCAAUUAACAUUAGCAUUGAAAGUGAUGAUGAGAAUGAGAUGGAUGAUGCAGAUGCACUUCCUGCAACAAGCACAGAAAUAACCAAUCAGUCAAGUUCAGCUCCAUUGAAAGCAUUCCAGCGACAAGCGCAGCUAGCGAGAGGGCCUUUACUGUUGGCAAGGAUAUUUAUGGCAUUUCGAGAAUGAGCUUGAAGCCUGAGACCGUUGAAGCCCUAAUCUGUCUACGUUCAUGGUACAAAGCAGGAUUAGUUGGGGUAAAAGAAGUCUACGAUUUCUUGGAAGAAAACUUUGAUACCUUACUUUUCCACUUUUGGAAAACGAAGAAGAAGAUUUUUAAAAACAAUUUUUUGUAUUUGUUCGAUAACUACAGUUAAUUCGGAUUUUUACUUCCAACACUUACUUCCAAGUUUCUUUUCGUUUCAUUGAUGUAUGUUUGUUUACAUCAAUUCUCAUGUAUUAAUUUUUUUUUGGUUCAUUUAAAACAGAAUAAAAAUUCAAUUUUUAUACGUUA